rnacentral:rRNA from 1 species
UACGUAGGGCGCAAGCGUUGUCCGGAAUUAUUGGGCGUAAAGAGCUCGUAGGCGGCCUGUUGCGUCCGCUGUGAAAUCCCGGGGCUCAACCCCGGGCCUGCAGUGGAUACGGGCUGGCUAGAGGCAGGCAGGGGAGAACGGAAUUCCUGGUGUAGCGGUGAAAUGCGCAGAUAUCAGGAGGAACACCGGUGGCGAAGGCGGCUCUCUGGGCCUGUACUGACGCUGAGGAGCGAAAGCGUGGGGAGCAAACAGG